rnacentral:lncRNA from 1 species
UGACACAGACUUGGAAGAGAAGGCUGGGACUGCCUGCGUGAUGAGGGACCCAGUGAAGGGAGACACCAGAGAAGAUUCCAGGCUUUGAGCCAGGAUGGGUAAGUCGAGAAGAGGCGUGGAUUUGAAGGAAAGAGAGAUGACCUUGGUUUGGACAUCCUGAGUUCAAGGACCGUAGUCUGAAGCCCUGAGAAGGGCGGAUGCCACUGAAUGUCAACGUGCCUCUUCUGAAUGAUCUGCCUCUGAGGUCCUGGGGCCCAGACGAUGAGCCUGAAGAACGGGAGAAAGGCUGGCAACAAGACAGGAUGGUGAAAGUAAACACUGGGACCAACGGAACUGGCAGCGUGUGGCUGCUCCUCAGCGGUACGAUACUUGAGGAGGCAACAUUCUUGGACUCAGGGCUCAGCCUUCAUUUUCCAGAUUUUGCUCUUCCACCCCUGAGCCUAAUCCUGACCAUGUCUUCUCCUUGAAAAAAAUGUCACACUAAUAAAAUUCACUGAAUUAUUAUUUAAAAAAAUAUU